AGCUUUGUUUCUAGCCUUGCUGCCCUACACUUAAUGGAAAGGGAUAAAAGAUAGAAGUGCUUCAACAAAGGGACCACAAGAUGGUCAAAGCUUCAAAGCACUGCCAUAAUACCAUCCUGGAUGAGAGUGGUAAUAUACCAAACAGCAGUUCUUCAACAACAUUUGAAAGUUUAUUCUCCAUCUCAAAAGCAAAUUAGACAGAGGUACUUUCUCCCUCUCAAAUAUGAAAAACACUGUGAAAAGAGGAAUUCUCAUUUACAAUGACGAGUGAAAUGGCUACAUGCAAGGCAGACCUUUCUAAAGAAAGUAGUCCUUCCUGGAGAAAGGCCCACCUAACCUAGGCUUGAGCAACACUGACGUCGGGGAUCAUCUCAGUCUUGAAUGCUGCAGACACAAAACAAGAAAUCCCAGUCAAGCAGUCGGCAAAUAUCAAUUGCAGGAGUCAAAUGACUGUAAAAAUUUAAUUUCACAUUAUCAUUACAAUUCAGCUGAUGGAAAAGAAUAAAAAUGUGGGUUGUGUGUAUGGGAUUAGUCACCCUUGAGUCCCAUUGCAGUCAGUGGAGAUCUAGUCAACAGUGAAGCACAGGGAGCAAUAUAUCUCAUCCUAAAGCAGUGCCUAAGGCAUUGAGUAGCAUCCUGAAACAGACCGUUCUUCUCCAUUAAUUAUAAAGGGACAUCUGAACAAGUACUUCAGCUGAAGAUGUCCAUGCUGGGAUGGUCUAGCACUGGGUGAGGAAAAUGACACAACCAAUUUAAUAAAGCAACUGUUCAACAUACAACUUCUGUCUCUGUUCAAACCGUGCUCAGACUGGCUUUCUGCACAGCAGUUUCUGAGGCCACGGUGGUCAUGUUUAAAACUAUACAUCCUUACUUAAUAGUUACUU